rnacentral:lncRNA from 1 species
CUCGACUCACUUCGGACCCUGCCUAGCCAGCAGCCCAAGCUUGAGGAGCUCUCGUUCCCCUCCAUUGCCACCAUGGCCUCCACCUCUAACCUCCUCGAUUAGCUCUAGCCCGAGCCCCUCCCUCCUUCUCUCCACAACCAGCAAAACCCCUCCACCUAGUAGAGUCUCCCUACCCCUUCAUCUCGUUGCCGGAGUGCCAUAGCAGCGAGCCCAUCUCUGGCCGUAGCCACCGUCCUCCGUGGAUGCUGCUCUGCUCAACUCCGAGCUCCCCGGGGCUGAGUCGCCCAGGGAUUGGACCGCCUCGCUCUACUGAUUCCAACGGUGGGUGCACGCCACCUGUGGUGGCCUGUGUCACCGGCAAUCGCCGUCGAGGAGGCCAUCUGCCUCGGCUCGUUGCGCCCCCGAGCGAGACGAAGAAGAAGCCAGCCAAGGCCAUCGCCCGUGGACCCCACCCAUCAGUCUAACAGAAGAGUUGACUAGGUACGCUGAUGUGGAUAACUGGAGGCGUAAUCGACUAGAUUACGUCUUCAGUUUUCCUAAGGCGUAUUUUCGUGCCUCUUUAGAUCACAGUACGUUUUCCCUGAUCUAAAAGCGUAUUUCUAAAAAGGCGCUUUCUGUUUUUCAGCCCCGCUCACCGAAAACGUUAAAUUGUGAACGUUCACUAUUUAAGCCACUUUUCUGCCUAAAAGGUGAACGAGGACAACAUUUCAUCCGUCACUCCGAUUGAGGUGAUUCAAACAAUCACCUUCUCUGUUUGUUGACCUCUUUUUGAUGGGACUAUUUUCUUUAUGUUUGCACAUUCUCAAAAUGCCCAUUUUGCCCUUGCUCUAAUUCAGCCCCUCUGAGAGAGAACCGUUCUCUGGAAAAAUUUCCGCGAGUUGAUUGCACUCAUUUCCGGAGUAUUCCUCGACCCCAGGCAAGCCAACCUCUUAUCAUAAGCCCCGUCCUUGCGGUUGCUUGCACCUUGUGUGUGUGCUUAGUUGUAGUAGUUUCUUGCUUGUUUCGUCUUCUGUUAUUUCAGUCUUGCUUUUAUAAUUAUGUUGUGUGCCUUGCAUGUUUGUGCUUUCAUGCUAUCUUUGGACAUGCUAGUUGGAUAUUGCUAUUCAUAAUAUCAUGCCUCUGUUUUGAUUGAUGUCAGUAGACUUGAUGCCAUGAUGAUUCUGUUACCUUGUCAAUAUGCUAGUACCUGGAAUUGUCAUGUUUCAUAUGCUAUAGUUGUUCACUUGAGAAGCUUGGUAUUUGUUAAUGCAUUUGUAUGUUGCAUGCUUGUUGUUGCAUUCAUGAUAAAUAUGCUCAUAGUGUUGAUGAUGAUGGAGAAUUUAAUAAUAUAACUUAAUAGUAAACCUCCUCCGUCCUUGAUGGGAUCGAGUCAUAGUGCCACCAAAUCGAACUUUCUCCCAUGUAGCCACAUUUGCCUUUAUGGGAGGGCCCUAGAUGGGUCUAUUAUCAUGCUUCUCACCGGUGCCUCCAAUGAGGGAAGGUUAUGGGCGCACGCUACCCUGAUCAGGUAGGCGGACAUAAGCCUUGUGUGCCCGUAGUUGGAUGAUAAGCGCUUUUGUCCCCGUUUGGGACCGUUUUUGUUUUGCACAUGACGGUGGCUGUUUUGCCAUGACGGUGGCCGUUGUGCCUUUGGUAGGCACGGGGCCACCCUGGACUGAACCCCAAGGGGUGUUGGUCGGAGUGGUCGGGAGAGUGUCAUGGCAGUUCGUCGGUUUUGUCGGUCCACCAGAAUUGGAGUACAAGGCCAUGGGUUCCGUGGUGUGGGUACAGUGUGCUACCUCUGCACAUUGUGUGUUAAAACUAUUGAUAGCCGUGUCAUCGAUCAUAGGCACAAGUCCGUAGUAGGUCACACUAUCGGGUCUUGGUCGAAAUGGAGGAUAAACCUGAAAUAACUAAGUUGAUGAAUAAUGUGUAAUGAAUAAUGUGGUGACUUGGACUAUGAGAUAGUCGUGAGAAGUCACGGUGAUGUUUUGACAUGAUCACGAGAGGAGGUCUCGGUGGGUGUUGAACCAAGUGUUGUUUUAUAUGUGAUGUGUGAAUGAUCACCAUUUAGUUACGAGGUAAGCCGUUGGUAAGAGAGUCCGAAGGACUCGGUGCACAAGUGUUGGUUGCAGUGCAUGAGUAACAUGUUGUUAUUUGCAUUUAAAGAGUCGUGUCAGAAUAAAAGAUUGUUGCAUAAAGUUAACACAUUAUGUUUGCAUGUGAAGUAACUGGUAGGUUAUUUUCAGCAUAGUUUCAUGAUGCCAUGCCAUGCUUUGAUUGAAAUGCUAGAUUAUGCCAUGCUUUGAAAUAUCAUGUUAUGAUCAAGAUGCUAUGCUAUGUUUUGCCAUUGUCAUGUUUCGAUUGAAUUGCUAGAUGAUGCCAUGUUAUGAAUUGCCAUGUUUUGCUGCUACAAAGUUAGAAGCAUGUUUUGAUAUGUCAUGUUAUUGCCAUGCUAGUAGUUGUUGAUACUUUGUUUGAUUUAUGUCGCCAGCUAAUAUUAUGCCAUGCUUAUAAAUUGUGAUGAGUUAAAUUAUAGCAUGCGCUUGGUUCUUGUUUGUCAUAUGUUUGUUUGGAUGCUAUAUAUUUGUUGGUCUUGCAAGUACAGUCAAUGUACUGAACGAGCGUGUCAUGCCAGUUUUGUAGGUAAUGUCUGAAUUGUUUGCUUGUUCCGUCAUGCUAGGCCGUAAUCUUGCCGGUCCUGUGAGUUGUGGUGGCCAGCCAGAGUCGACAUGCUGUCAAACCAAGACUUCCGCCGCCAUUUAAAUAGCCUUAGAGCUAUGCCAGAUGAUUCUUGUAUACAUGUAUUUGAUGAAUAUUAUCAUACUUGGAAUGCUGUAUCAUUGAACAGUCGUGCGUCAGGUGUUAUCCUGGGCUGACGUGCGAAGGCCCCUUGCUCCAUGCGGAUCGGGGUGCCACAGGAGAUAGUAUCAGAGCAGCCAGGCCGACAUAGGUUAUCCAAGCAAUAGAUCACCACUACCAUUAACCCGUAAUAACCCUAAGGGAUUUGACCCAUCCCUGGCAUCCGGAAUGGCCAUUGUUAAUUAGCAGGUGGCACAAUCGAGACUGACACAUCCUCACCCCGCUGUCAACGCCUAGUUAUUCAUGGAUCGAAUAGCAACCCUAUCCUUUAUGGUCGGCCGCACUGCUUACCCUUCACCAUUAAGGGAAAGGGGCCAUGCCAUGCGGGCAUGUCCCGCGUAGCUUCCUAUAAAAUCCCCUUUCGCUAAUCGUAUUGCUCACCCCUCAGUCAGGCAUGACCCUGCAGAGAAGCCUAGCCAGUAACUCCCCAACCAUGACUUGCGCCCUCAAAGCUCCCAAGUUUUACACCUGAACCUUUGUUUCAAUCAUACUGGCUUUCCACGCCUUCUUACUGAGAUGCUCACCAAAGCCUUUCGCUGUAAUGCUAGCCACAAUUAGAUUACCUGGUGUUCCAAUUGGCACCCGUCCCUCACCUUCACUGCUAUGAUGCAAGAGUGCACAUCUGCCCAGUGCCCGCGGGAGAUGGUCAGCCCUUGGUUUUUCAGGGCAAAGCCAUGCCCACUACUGAUUUGGCAAUUCAGGCCGCUACUGUGGAGGCUAUCCUAUACCUCCAAACCAAGUUUCCGCAAGUGGCAGAGAGGCGGGAGUUCUGCUUUUUCCCCAUUGUGGCAGAAAUAGGAAUUUAUCCUCCCCCCACUAUUCAGGUAGAUGACCCCACAAUCGCUCGCCUAGCGCAAUAUAUCACUGCCCAGGGGGUGAUGAUUGCAAAGAUUCUUGCCGAGUUUAGAACCAUGGACCAUGAUGCGGUAUGGGUUGUCACGGAAGCUUAUCGUGAGGCUCGUAAAUUUGCAUCCCAAACCGUUCGCCCAAUGCCAUCCGAGCCAGUGCUACCCUCUCAGACUGUGUUGUGGCUUAAUCCAAACAUCGUCACCCUCAACAAGGCUCUUUACCGGAUCCACCAGAAGCAUUUGCUUGGAGCAAUUUCAGCCACACGCCCAGCAGUAGAGCCCCAACCCAUAGAAGUGUCGGACGAGGGAGAUGGAGAUUGGCUCAGGCUUCAUCCUCCAGGAGAGCGCCAGCAAGGCCAGUCCUCAGCAUGACCUCAGUCACACAGUCAGGUGUUUCUGCGAGUAGGUCGGUCUGAUGGUUCAUCCUCGAUAUGAGGGUAGAACCAUGUAUCCCGGAGUGAGUGGUUUCGUUUAGCGCAUGGCGCGUUCGUGCUUUGUUGCAUGCUUGUACUGUUGUAACCUGCAUGAUGUAUUAUGUAUGCUUCCUUGCUUCUUGCUUUUGUUUUUGUUUGUCUCUCAGUCAAGCAGAAAUGUUUCACAGGGUUGGCAAUGUGUGCUAACAAGAUUUUAAUCAGUAGAGCACAUACACUAAACAACAUUGACUCGUCCCGAGUCUGUAAUAAAAUGCGCGCUGGUGUAGGUAUAUGUAUACCAGGAGUACAUAUACCCACUCGCAUUAAAACACCUUAGUGUGAUUUGCUUGAUGUGUUUUUUCGUUGCAUAUAUAUGUUGCAUCUAUCCGUUUGCUACUUUAGACUGCACUACAUCCUGCACGGAUACCUGGUUCACCCACGAGUACAUUUGGGCAGUACUCGGGGAAUGCAAAAUCAUCCCUAGCUCUAUCUAUGUAUACCUCGUGUGCCAGAUUUUUAGACCUAGAGCUCCGAAGAGGCAUUUCCAUCUGGCCAUUUCUCGUCCUUAAUUCUUUUUCGAUAGCCCCAAUUGCGUUUCCAGAGAAACACUGCCAGUUUUAUUUCACUCGAUCCAGUACAUCCACCCCGAUACAGAUUUCAACUCUAAUUCUACCUCGAUGCCUACAUUUCGUGGAGCUAUCCGUGAAAUUUUUCUCCGUGCCCUAGUAUGACUCCUGUGCUGCCGCAGCCUCCUCACCCGCAUCUGUUGCCUUGCGUGGCGUAGGUAAGUUGCCCCCACCGCUCCACCGCAUCAUGCGAUUACUCCGCCGGUGCGAAGCGGCGGAGAAUCAAGUGCGGCGGAGGACCACCUAGUGCACCAUCUUCAUCCGCACCUCGAACCACCGCACCUAGUCGCGCGUUGCCUCAAGCCCGCUCAUACCUGAUGAUCGUCAGCAGGAUGAUUGACGAGCCAAUCAGCAUGCCUAGCAGAGCAGCUAGGAACCACCGCAGUGCCACCAGGAACACGGCCUCGCCGAAGGAGCUCGGCUCGAUCCCGUCCAAACCAAAUAGGUAGUAGAGCGGCAUUGUGUUUGUGUGUUGGAAGAGAGCCGCGCUGCCGUUUUUAUAGCCCAACCCAUGUGUACAGUGAGCGAGGUCCAGGAGAAACACUCAUCACUCGAUCACUGGCGUCUAGGAGGCGAAUGCGCGAGCAGUGCCGAAAAGGUGCUGGCCCAUGAUGUGAGUGCUCGUUGCACUGGCGCCGUGCACACUGCGCCCUACGACACUAGGGUCCUCAUCUCCCUAGGAGCUAGAUGCGCGCCGCACCAAGCCACACACGGAGCAGCUGCAUAGAUGAAGCUGCAAGCCGAAGGUAGAAGAAGGAGGCUACCAGUGGGCCCUGGACCCACGUGUCAGCAGGUGAAACCACUGUUCACUGGGGUGCAUCCAGCAUUUUUCUGAGAGUUUGAUCUCGCGUGCCCCUAGCUAUGGAAAUAACCAUGUUUAUCACAUCUCUCCCUGGGUGUACCAAUUAAUGGUGCCCCCAACUCGAGAAUCUCACCAAAGUGUUAAAAAUUAACCUAGAGGUUUUCCCCAGAGUGGUUAUCUUUUCAUUUGUGUUGUAACCCUAGGAAUCUCGAGGACGAGAUUCUUUUAAGGGGGGAAGGUUUGUAACAACCCCAAAAUUGGGUUCCCAAUUUUUGUGUUGUUAUUCCAUCCUGGCAAUCAUUUUCAAAAUCUUUCUCCUGAGUUUGCUGGAUGACUCUGAGAAUUCUUGUCAUUUCCAACCUUUCAAGACCUUUCUCAUGUCUUUGUUAGUGGGCAAGACGUCAUUUGCAUCAUCUCAAACCCAUUGAAACCCUAAUUCCAAAUUUUUGGAAUUUGAAUAUGCCCUUUGUGAAUAUAAAGGAGCCAUCAUUUUCCUUGAUCUGUUGAUCAUCCUGAUUGUUCCCAGAGACCCUCCUACCUUUCUAAACCUUGGAUAUGCACAAAUAUUGCUAAGUCCUAUGCAAUAUUUUUGAAUGGUGAUUUAUUAAUUUUCUUGCCUUUUUGAGGAAUAAAAUCCAAAGGCAUAGCUAGCCAUCUCCUAAAGUCAUGAGAAUUGGUGGAGUUGAUAUUUAUGCCUAAUCCAAGCUCUGGCAAAAAAUAUUGGCCAUAAUUAAAUAAGGAAAAUUGCAUUUUCCUAUUUAAUGCCAAUAUUCCAUUUUUGCCACUAUCUAAAGGAACUAUUAUUUUUAUAGUAGAGAAAAUUCCCACAUAAAUUAUGGAGCUUGCCCUUGCUAUAUAAUCACUAGUUCCAUCCUUAUCUAAUGUUCCACAGAUCAAAAGUUGGGCGAUGAUCAAUGCAAGUUUCUGCCUUCUCUGAAUUUUUGCAAAGGAAGUGCUUUAUUCCUAAUUCCAAUUGAGCUACAAUUUGGCAGGGUGAUUAACAUUGAUAAAUCACCCAUGGAUACCCAAAAUGAGCUCAAUCCAUUCAUCCUAGCUCCCUGUUCAAUUUUUCAAAGUUUCUGACUAGAUUGGAACUUUGUGAAGGAAGUACCUCCAUAGAGUUUCCAAAUGGUAUGAAACUUUUCCAACUUCUCAAAUAUCCUAAAUAAUGAGCCUCCACGAAAAUUCAGCUCAUUCCAUUGAACUAUGUGAGCACAGGAGAAAUUCUUGGUUUCUGUCCAAAUUUUUAGUUUGUGAAGCAAGUAUAUUUUAUCUUGCUCCAUUAUGGCUGAAAAUAUUCCCAAUCCUUCUCCUAUCAAUAUAACCCUCCUCCACAAGAUUGUGGAUCAUUAUUUUAGCCAAUAUUUUCCCAGAAUUUUCCCAAGUUCCUGGACAGAAGAGAUGUUUGUGAAACAAGUACCAUUUUGGCAAGUCCAUUUAGUAUGAUCUUUUUGUAGCAUCUACAUAUGUCCAGAUCACUCCUAGUGAGUGCUUCUUCCUCAUUUGUUUUCUGGACCUAAUAUGGCAGUUGCAAAGAAAUUAUGUUAAAUCCUUAUCCUAAUGGCCUCAUAACACCCAGGACUGUAGUCCUUGCUACCCUAAGCCUCCUAUACAUCAAGUUCACUUCCUACCCUCUCUGGUUUAAUCUCUAGAAUGUGGUCAAGUUUUCUACAGCAAACAUAGGAAGCUUAGUUUACUCAGCUCCCUUUGUCUUUGCUCGUUUCUUUGCCGUAGUAAUACUCUACCUUGGAUGGACUAUGUUGUAGACAUGAGCUGGCAUCAUGAAGGAAGCCAGAGCGUACGUUGUCGAUGGUGACCACAGGCAAUGCCGGCCAAAACGAUGGUCUAGCCACUGUUGGCAACGACAAAGCUACUCCGGUCGGUUCUGGGCAUCCCCGAGUGCCCAGUAGCUCGGCCUCGACAUUGUCUUCUCGCUAGACCCCUCUUCCCUCCGUUUGCUUCUCCGGCGAAUCGUUCCAACGGCCAAACAGUGAGCUCCCAUGGACAUCGUCUUCUUCCUUGCUUUUGUCCUCUUCCCCCUCUCCUCCGCGAGUGUUGCUCGUCUCCGUGAGUCCCUGCGCGUCGUCCGCAUCCCCCUCAUCGCCUUCCCACUCCUCCCCGUGAGCCCUGCAGCACUCUCCCCGCGAGUGUUGCCCGGCUGCUCUUGCCCCCACUAUUUAUAGGGACCCCUGGCCCCAUCCGAGCUCAUCACUCGCCUCGCCUCACUUCCUCGACCCUGCCUAGCCACCAGCCCGAGCUCGAGGAGCUCUCGUUUCGCUCCAUUUCGACCAUGGCCGCCGUCUCUGACCUCCUCAAUUAGCUCUAGCCCAAGCCCCGCCCUCCUUCUCUCCACCACCAGCAGAACCCCUCCACCCAGCAGAGUUUACCUGCCCCUUCGUCUGGUCACCGGAGCAUCGUAGUCGCAGGCCCAUCUCCGGCUGUAGCCACCGUCUGCCAUGGUUCUUUCUCCGCUCAACUUCAACUCCCCGGUGGCUGAGUCGCCCAGGGACGGGACCGUCGCGCUCUUCUGAUUCCAACAGUGGAUUGCAUGCCACCUGCGGUGGCCAGAGUCACCGGCAGUCGCCGUCGAGGCAGUUGUCUGCCUCAGCUCAUCGCGCCCCCGAGCGGGAGGAAGAAGAAGCCAGGCCAGGCGGGCCCCACCGCCCGUGGAGUCCACCCGUUAGUCUAACAGAAGUGUUGACCAGGUACACUGACGUGGAUAAGUGGAGGCGUAAUCUACUGGAUUACGUCUUUAGUUUUCCUAAAGCGUAUUUUCGUGCCUCUUUAGAUCAAAGUACAUUUUGCCUGAUCUGAAAGUGUAUUUCUGAAAAGGCGCUUUCUGUUUUUCAGCCCCGCCCGCCGAAAAGGUUUAAUUGAGAACAUUCACUAUUUAAGCCACUUUUCUGCCUAAAAAGUGAACGACCACAACUUUUCAACUGUGACUCUAUUCGUUGAGAUCUUUUCGAUGCCCAUUUUGUAACCCAUUUUGAAAAUGCCCAUUUUGCCCUUGCUCUAAUUCAGCCCCUCUCAGAGAGAACCUUUCUCCGGCAAAUUUUUCCACGAGUUGAUUGCACUCAUUUCCGGAGUAUUCCUCGACCCCAGGCAAGCCAACCUCUUAUCAUGAGCCCCGAACUUGCAUGUUGACGUUGCUUGCACCUCAUGUGUGUGCUUAGUCGCAGUAGUUUCUUUCCUAAUUCAUGUGCCGUUAUUUCAAUCGUGCUUUAUAAUUGUGUUGUGUGCCUAGCAUGUUUGUGCUUUCAUGCUAUCUUUGGACAUGCUAGUUGGAUGUUGUUAUUCAUAAUAUCAUGCCUCUAUUUUGAUUCAUGUCAGUAGACUUGAUACCAUGAUGAUUCUGUUACCUUGUCAAUAUGCUAGUACCUGGUAUUGUCAUGUUUCAUAUUCUAUAGUUGUUCACUUGAGAAGCUUGGUAUUUGUUAAUGCAUUUGUAUGCUGCAUGCUUGUUGUUGCAUUCAUGAUAAAUAUGCUCAUAAUGUUGAUGAUGAUGGAGAAUUUAAUAAUAUAACUUAAUAAUAAACCUCCUCCGUCCUUGAUGGGAUCGAGUCAUAGUGCCACCAAAUCGAACUUUCUCUAGUGCAGCCACAUUUGCCUUUAUGGGAAGGCCCUAGCUCGGUCUAUUGUCAUGCCUCUCGCUGGUGCCUCCAAUGAGGGAAGGUUAUGGGUGCACGCUACCCAGAUCAUGUAGGCGGACAUAAGCCUUGUGUGCCCAUAGUUGGAUGAUAAGCUCUUUUGUCCCCAUUUGGGACUGUUUUUUGUUUUGCCACGACGGUGGCCGUUGUGCCUUUGGUAGGCACGGGGCCACCCAGGCUUGAACCGCAAGGGGGUGUUGGUCGGAGUGGCCGGGAGAGUGUCAUUGCAGUAGGUCAGUUUUGUUGGAACGUCGUUGGUCCACCCGAAUGGGAGUACGAGGCCAUGGGUUCCUCUGUAGAGUGUGUGUUAAAACUAUCGAUACCCGUGUCCUUGAUCAUGGGCACAAGUUCAUAGUAGGUCACACAAUCGGGUCUUGGUAGAAAUGGAGGAUAAACCUGAAAUAACUAAGCUGAUGAAUAAUGUAUAAUGAAUAAUGUGGUGAUUUGGACUAUGAGAUAGUCGUGAGAAGUCACGGUGAUGUUUUGACAUGAUCACAAGACGAGGUCUCGGUGAGUGUUGAACCAAGUGUGGUUCUGUUUGUGAUCUGUGAAUGAUCACCAUUUGGUUACAAGGUAACCCGUUGGUAAGAGAGUCCGAGGGACUCGAUUCACAAGUGUUGGUUGCAUUGCAUGAGUAACAUGUUGAUAUUUGCAUUUAAAGGGCCGUGUCAGAAUAAAAGACUGAUGCAUAAAGUUAACACGUUAUGUUUGCAUGAGAAGUAACUGCUAGGUUAUUUUCAUCAUAGUUUCAUGAUGCCAUGCCACGCUUUGAUUGAAAUGCUAGAUUAUGCCAUGCUUUGAAAUAUCAAGUUAUGAUCAAGAUGCCAUGCUAUGUUUUGCCAUUGUCAUGUUUCGAUUGAAUUGCUAGAUGAUGCCAUGUUAUGAAUUGCCAUGUUUUGCUACUACCAAGUUAGAAGCACGUUUUGAUAUGUCAUGUUAUUGCCAUGCUAGUAGUUGUUGAUACUUAGUUUGAUUUAUGUCGCCAGCUAAUAUUAUGCCAUGCUUAUAAAUUGUGAUGAGUUAAAUUGUUGCAUGCUCUUGGUUCUUGUUUGUCAUCUAUUUGUUUGGAUGCUAUAUAUUCGGUUGUCUUGCAACUACAUUCAAUGUACCGACCUGGCGUGUCAUGCCAGUUUUUGUAGGUAAUGUCCGAAUUAUUCGCUUGUGCCGUCAUGCUAGGCCGUAAUCUUGCCAGUCCUGUGAGUUGUGGAGCCCAGCCAGAGUCGAUAUGCUGUUAAACCAAGACUUCCGCCGCCAUUUAAAUAGAUUUCCGCCACCAUUUAAAUAGCCUUAGAGCUAUGCCAAAUGAUUGUAUUCAUCAAUGAUGUAAUCUUAUAUACAUGUAUUUGAUGAAUAUUAUUGUACCUGGAUGUUGUAUCAUGGAUCUGUCGUGCGUCAGGUGUUAUCCUGG